GGGCCGGUAGUCUAGCGGAAGGAUGCCCGCCUUGCACGCGGGGGGGCUUGGGAUAAGGUUCGAAUCCCGGCCGGUCCACCA
rnacentral:tRNA from 1 species